rnacentral:rRNA from 1 species
GACGAACGCUGGCCGCGUGCUUAACACAUGCAAGUCGAACGGAAAGGCCCUGCUUUUGUGGGGUGCUCGAGUGGCGAACGGGUGAGUAACACGUGAGUAACCUGCCCUUGACUUUGGGAUAACUUCAGGAAACUGGGGCUAAUACCGGAUAGGAGCUCCUGCUGCAUGGUGGGGGUUGGAAAGUUUCGGCGGUUGGGGAUGGACUCGCGGCUUAUCAGCUUGUUGGUGGGGUAGUGGCUUACCAAGGCUUUGACGGGUAGCCGGCCUGAGAGGGUGACCGGCCACAUUGGGAAUGAGAUACGGCCCAGAAUCCUACGGGAGGCAGCAGUGGGGAAUAUUGCACAAUGGGCGGAAGCCUGAUGCAGCAACGCCGCGUGCGGGAUGACGGCCUUCGGGUUGUAAACCGCUUUCGACUGUGACGAAGCGUGAGUGACGGUAAUGGGUAAAGAAGCACCGGCUAACUACGUG